UGUGCCUUUUCUGUAAGUCAGAAAUUAUUUUAAAAUACAAAAUUACUAAAAAACUGAUAUUUUAAAAAGUAAAUUACGUCAUGUUAAUACCAUGCUGAAAAUAUUUUUAAGGCCUUCCAGGGCACUUAGCUUGAAACCUGCAAGGCCCUAAGUGAACUGACAGCCUCUCUCACUAUAUUUAAUGUCAGCUUGCAGCUUCUUCUCCUUGCUUCAGAUAUGUCCUGCUUGUGCCUACCCUGUAGAUUUAUGUGUGCUGUUUCCUCUCCCUGGAACUCCUUUCCCUCAGCUCCUCCACACUGGCUCUUCUCUUCCUCAGGUCUCAGCUUAUCUGUCACGUCUUCCUGGAGGCCCUCCCUGAUCACCCUACCCAAGACGGAGCCACUCUAUGUCCUCCUUAGCACUUAUCACAGUCUAUAAUAAUCCGGUUCAUUUACAAUGUUGAUUGCCUCUCAGGUCCAUCAGGGUAUGCACCUUGUCUGUCCUGUUCACCAUUGUAUGCUGGAUUCUUCACCAGAACCACAGAACAACGAAAUGUUUAAUACCAUUCUAGUUACACAGAAAAGAAGUUAAUUCUUUACAUUUGUUAAAUGCCUUUGGGCAUGAGGGCUUAAUUCUUUUGCAGAAGUCUGUUUGAGAAAGGCUGCCAGCCUAGAGCCUACAAAUAGUAGGUUCUGAGUGAGUAUCUGUUGCAUAAUGAACAAGCACAACCUCAAAACCAAAUUUAUGCUCUUUCUCUAUAAUCCUGGUCUUUCUCCUGUAUUUGUUAUACUGAUGAAGGUCAUGGACAAGUCUCCAAUCACCCAAGCAGACUCAGACCUUGGGUGGUGGGAAUUCUACACACCCCAUCUUUCUCACUCUCACAUCUCCAUUCCCUAUGUCCCCUCAGUCCAUUGGCUCUUGUCCAUCUGCUACCUCUGUCCAGAACAUUUGGUCCUCUUCCUC
rnacentral:lncRNA from 1 species